rnacentral:rRNA from 1 species
UGGGGAAUAUUGCACAAUGGGCGCAAGCCUGAUGCAGCCAUGCCGCGUGUAUGAAGAAGGCCUUCGGGUUGUAAAGUACUUUCAGCGGGGAGGAAGGGAGUAAAGUUAAUACCUUUGCUCAUUGACGUUACCCGCAGAAGAAGCACCGGCUAACUCCGUGCCAGCAGCCGCGGUAAUACGGAGGGUGCAAGCGUUAAUCGGAAUAACUGGGCGUAAAGCGCACGCAGGCGGUCUGUCAAGUCGGAUGUGAAAUCCCCGGGCUCAACCUGGGAACUGCAUUCGAAACUGGCAGGCUAGAGUCUUGUAGAGGGGGGUAGAAUUCCAGGUGUAGCGGUGAAAUGCGUAGAGAUCUGGAGGAAUACCGGUGGCGAAGGCGGCCCCCUGGACGAAGACUGACGCUCAGGUGCGAAAGCGUGGGGAGCAAACAGG